UCAUUUCGAAUAAUGUCAUUUUAAUUGGAAAAAUUUCAUAUUCUUCCAAGAAAGGAAGUGUGACAUUCUGUCACAUAUAUAACGAGCAAAAUGAGUUACAGAGGCAUUCAACAAGUAAUUACCGCUGAAUAAAUACUUCAAAUGGGAGCUAGAAUUCAGUGAAAGUAGAAACGACCCAGUCUAACAAAUUGAGAGAUUAGAGUAAAGUUGCAAAAGAAAAUAGAUAUUUGCUCUUAGGAGUUCAUACAUUUUUCUGCUUUUCAGACAUUCUGUUAGCCUCCAUGGACAAUUCUUGGGUUGAACCUUCCGACAUGAUAAAUCAUCAUUGCCAUCUGAUCAAAAUACACAGUAUUAGAAUAGCCCAAAAUAAGAUUAAAUUAGAAUAGCUACUGAUGAGAAAUGCCAAAUUAUAAGCUAAGCAAGAAUCGGGCUAUCAGAUUCAGUUGAUUCAUAGCACUAACUAUUCAACUAUUACUGACAGCCACCUGUAUGAAAAAUGGAAAAAUAGUAGCUGUUGAUCACCAUAAAUGCAUCAUAAAAAAUACAUUACAAAAAGACGGGUAAAUUGUGAAGGUUAAAAUUGCAGUUUGCGGAGGUUAGGAACCUCCGCUAUUUGCUGUCACGACGGUUGAGCAAGCCCCCGCAGUAUG
rnacentral:lncRNA from 1 species